UACAGAGGGUGCAAGCGUUAAUCGGAAUUACUGGGCGUAAAGCGUGCGUAGACGGUUACAUAAGUCGGGUGUGAAAUCCCCAGGCUUAACCUGGGAACUGCGUCGGAUACUGGAUGGCUUGAAUCCGGGAGAGGGAUGCGGAAUUCCAGGUGUAGCGGUGAAAUGCGUAGAUAUCUGGAGGAACACCGGUGGCGAAGGCGGCAUCCUGGACCGGCAUUGACGCUGAGGAGCGAAAGCCAGGGGAGCAAACGGG
rnacentral:rRNA from 1 species